GAGGCAGGUGGCAAUCUACGAUCUAUAGCUCUGGCCCUUUGGGUAGGGCAGAGCAAUGAGCAGUCUUUAGCGGCAGCCUUCGGGCUGGAGCAGACAGCAAAUACAGUCUGGGGCUCUGACCCUCUCGGUGGGGCAGAGUAACAAGGCACAGAUACACUGGUGUAAAUCUAGACCGAUUGCACUGACACUGACAUUAGAGGAACCACACUGAGACCUAUAACUGAGAUAAUUCAGAUCGGGACCUUAAGGACAGUUACCGGAAUCAGGAACUCGAGAUGGAACAGGAGAACCUCCUCGAUGAUGGACAAUGAG